AUGCACGCUGGCGGCGUGCCUCAUACAUGCAAGUCGAGCGAACAGACGAGGAGCUUGCUCCUCUGACGUUAGCGGCGGACGGGUGAGUAACACGUGGAUAACCUACCUAUAAGACUGGGAUAACUUCGGGAAACCGGAGCUAAUACCGGAUAAUAUAUUGAACCGCAUGGUUCAAUAGUGAAAGACGGUUUUGCUGUCACUUAUAGAUGGAUCCGCGCCGCAUUAGCUAGUUGGUAAGGUAACGGCUUACCAAGGCAACGAUGCGUAGCCGACCUGAGAGGGUGAUCGGCCACACUGGAACUGAGACACGGUCCAGACUCCUACGGGAGGCAGCAGUAGGGAAUCUUCCGCAAUGGGCGAAAGCCUGACGGAGCAACGCCGCGUGAGUGAUGAAGGUCUUCGGAUCGUAAAACUCUGUUAUUAGGGAAGAACAAAUGUGUAAGUAACUAUGCACGUCUUGACGGUACCUAAUCAAAAAGCCACGGCUAACUACGUG
rnacentral:rRNA from 1 species